rfam:Triticum aestivum genome assembly, contig: Triticum_aestivum_CS42_TGACv1_scaffold_223230_3B
AAAUUACUCCCUCCGUCCGAAAAUACCGGUCGGAAAAAUGGAUGUAUCUAGAUGUAUUUUAGUUCUAGAUACAUUUAUUUUUAGACAUUUCUCCGAUAAAUAUUUCCGGACGGAGGAAGUAUAUA